CGUGUAGGCGGUCAGGUAAGUGGAAUGUGAAAUGCCCCGGCUCACCCGGGGACCGGCAUCCCAAACUGCCUGGCUUGAGUAUGGGAGAGGAUGGAGGAAUUCCUGGUGUAGUGGUGAAAUGCGUAGAUAUCAGGAGGAACACCGGUGGCGAAGGCGUCCAUCUGGCCCAAUACUGACGCUGAGGCGCGAAAGCUAGGGGAGCAAACG
rnacentral:rRNA from 1 species